GAUGAAGAACGUAGCGAAAUGCGAUACUUGGUGUGAAUUGCAGAAUCCCGUGAACCAUCGAGUUUUUGAACGCAAGUUGCGCCCGAAGCCGUUAGGCGGAGGGCACGCCUGCCUGGGUGUCACACAUCGUUGCCCCAAUGCCAAUCGCCUCACUUUGUAGGUAUUUGCUUGGGGUGAAUGUUGGCCUCCCGUGAGCUUUGUCUCACGGUUGGUUGAAAAUCGAGUGCAUGGUGUCGGGUGUACCAUGAUGGAUGGUGGUUGAGUGAUGAUGCUCGGUGACCCACAUGCGUCCCUUGGAUGCUCCCUAAGGAGACCUCAGGUCAGGCGGGGCUACCCGCUGAGUUUAAGCAUAUCAAUAAGCGGAGGA
rnacentral:misc_RNA from 1 species